rnacentral:rRNA from 1 species
GAGGGAAUCUUCCGCAAUGGGCGAAAGCCUGACGGAGCAACGCCGCGUGAGUGAUGAAGGUCUUCGGAUCGUAAAACUCUGUUAUUAGGGAAGAACAAAUGUGUAAGUAACUAUGCACGUCUUGACGGUACCUAAUCAGAAAGCCACGGCUAACUGCGUGCCAGCAGCCGCGGUAAUACGUAGGUGGCAAGCGUUAUCCGGGAUUAUUUGGCGUAGAGCGCGCGUAGUCGGUUUUUUGAGUCUGAUGUGAAAGCCCACUGCUCAACCGUUGAGGGUCAUUGGAAGCUGGAAAACUUGAGUGCUGAAGAGGAAAGUGGCAUUCCCUGUGUAGCGGUGAUAUGCGCAGAGAUAUGGAGGAACACCAGUGGCGAAGGCGACUUUCUGGUCUGUAACUGAUGCUGCUGUGCGAAGGCGUGGGGAUCAAACAGG